UGGGGUGAUGGCCUACCAAGGCGACGACGGGUAGCCGGCCUGAGAGGGUGACCGGCCACACUGGGACUGAGACACGGCCCAGACUCCUACGGGAGGCAGCAGUGGGGAAUCUUGCGCAAUGGGCGAAAGCCUGACGCAGCAACGCCGCGUGGGGGAUGACGGCCUUCGGGUUGUAAACCUCUUUCGACAUCGACGAAGCCUUCGGGUGACGGUAGGUGUAGAAGAAGCACCGGCUAACUACGUG
rnacentral:rRNA from 1 species